ACCAUGAGCUUCCUAGCUUCCCUGCCUGAGAUGAGUGAUUCCUUCAGAACUGGACCACUUCCUGCAGCCUGGAAGCCUCCUUAUCUUUAAGCAGAACUUCCCAUUCAAGUGGGACCAGGCGGCAAACACAAAGCUGGAAUUUUCUGCUGAAGUUGAUGUGCCAUGGGAAUAAAAAUCCAGUUGGCUUUUGAGUGGAUAAUUGUUGCAGUGAGCUCAGUGACAUUGGAAGUGACUCUUGUCCAUUUGAAUUACUUAAAACACCACCAUGAAAAGAAAUACCUGUGAUCUGCUUUCUCGGAGCAAAAGUGCUUCUGAGGAAACACUGCAUUCCAGUAAUGAAGAGGAAGACCCUUUACGAGGAAUGGAACCCUAUCUUGUACGGAGACUUUCUUGCCGCAAUGUUCAGCUUCCCCCUCUUGCCUUCAGACAGUUGGAACAAGCAGACUUGAAAAGUGAAUCAGAGAACAUUCCCAGACCGACCAGCCUCCCUCUGAAGAUUCUACCACUGAUUGCUAUCACUUCUGCAGACUCCAGUGGGUGAGUGCCUCUGGGCAACAUUUUCCCGUUUUAUAUUUUGGAUGGUGAUUGUUAUCUUUGGUCUUUUGAGAUUUUGUGGCUCAUUGCCUGAUUUGAUUGGGAGGAAAAUGUCUCUACCUCUACAGGAGAAGCUGUUUUAGUCAAACGGUUUUACACAGAGCAGUUGAACAGGUAUUGGUGAAUGAGAAUAAACAUCUAAGAAAGGAGACUUGGACUUGGAAAAUUAAUAUUGGUCAUAUGUGAUUUAAUAAAAAAAUUCUUAACACAUGAGAACUAAUUAACACAUUAAUACAUAGGCAUACAUAUCUGGAAACAGUAGGCCAUGUUCACUGAUGCAAAAUGAAUUUUGAAUCAAGAAUAGAUUGCCAUGUAAUAAGAAUCCAAGGAAAUAAGCAAUUAUAUUCAGGAGGCUAGUAAUUUGGCCUUUGACACAUCAAGGUGUUGCUUACCAGAAUACUGUUUCUGUUCCCAAAAGGAGGUGGUUUUAUAUAGUGUUAGUUAUGGAAGGAUCACGCACAGUCGCUGUCUCCAUCAUUCAAUAACUUUUGUAUUGCUGACUUUGCAGAAUAGUUGUGUUUUUGUUCUUUCUCUGCUCUUUAGCAAUGGAGGUUUUACUCUUUAAGAACAAUGUUGCCAGGUAAACAUUGAGAAAGAAAGUAUGGAUAAUGGGCACAUCCAUUCUUUGCUGUUUUGGUCAGCUGCAUUUUUAAGAAGAUUGAAUAGGAAAGAAAGGAAGAAGCCAGUGGCCCAUAUUUGGAAAGACUCUAGAGCAUUCGCUAAGAUUAUGAGAACAAAGCAAUUUGUUAGGUGACAAAUGUGAUUCUUCCCCAUUCUCCGCCAAAUUGAAGGCAUGUCUAGGAAAGGUGCUUCUGGAUUUGCCUAGAAGUUGUUAGAAAAGUUGUAAUUAGAAGAAAUUUUGCUAGUAACUGCCUUCUGUGAUACUGAGUUUAGUUUGAAUUGUUACAGACCAGUUCAAAGGACUUGUGUUAUUAAAAGGUAUGAAGAAAUUACUACUAGGUAAGUAGGAAUAUACCAAAUUCUUAAAGAAAUGGAAAGUGGAAAUAUGUGUCUAGUUGUCUUUGGUUUUUGUUUUUGAUGAAUCAUGUAUGUAAGGAAGAUUGUACACUUAUUGAUCAAACACACUGAAGCAGUUGGGAAUUUUAUAUGGCAGCUUGACCUGAACAUUGUUUGAAAAAUACUGUCUCAAAAAACUGAUUUCCCCUCUCUUUGGGAUCAAAGAUGAACUACUACUGUUCAUCUGUGUAUAGGGCAGGAUUCCCAGAUAUCAGGGAUUGAGUCAGGGGUCACCAAGAUUUCCCCUAGAUUCCAUGAUUUGCUAGAUGAGCUCGCAGGACUCAGCCAAUAGUCCUAUUCAUGGCUGAGAUUUAUUACAGCCAAAGAACACAAAGCAAAAUCAGCAAAGAGAAAGGCACAUGGGGCAAAAUCUGGAGGAAAGCAGCCGGAAGCUUCCUAGAGUCUCCAAUUACAGUAGAGUCAGACAGGAUGCCCUUAAUUCCUCCAGAAGUGAGCUGUGACAACACCUGUGAAAUGUGUCACCGGAAAAGUCUUAUACCAGAAAAACCUCUGAAAGACUUGGUGCUUGUAUGAGGAAUGUGAAACGGUGCAACUCACAGAAAGAUAAGGAGGUUGGCAGGGGCUAAGGAUAGGGAAAUGGGAAAUUGCUAUUCAAUGGGUAUAUCAUUUGAAUUAUGCAAAAUGAAUCAGCUCUAGAGAUCUGUAUCAUUAUGCCUAUAAUGAACAACAUUGUGUUGUGCGCUUAAAAAUUGGUCAGGGGAGAUCUUAUGCUAAAUGUUCUUACCACAAUUUAAAAAAAAGCAAGGUAAAAACCCAGGAAAUAAAAAAUAGACUCAGUGCCCAGAAUUUUUACUAGGGGCUGGUCACUUAGGCACCCUCUAUCCAGCCUAUGCCUAAAUUUCAGAUUCCAAGAAGGAAAGCAGUUGUUCAGCACAAAUCACUUUUUUUUUUCUCUUUUAGAACCAGGUUAGGCACAGUGAAUGUCUGUUACCAUUUAGGGAAUGGUGGGCAGUCUCCUGAAAUCCCAGUUUCUAGAUACCAGCCAAGGGCAAACUUUCAAACAGGCUUUUCUGAAGAUAAUGUCACAGGCCUGAUGUUAACUCUUUUCUGCACAGCAGGUUUAUCUUAGAAUCAUUAUCUUGUUUUGUCUACAUUUGAGUAAGAAGAGAAUAUAGUUAAAAUUUAAAUAAAUUUCAGCUGUGA